GAGCGGGUGAAGGUGGUCAAAAGGUACAAACCUGCAGUUAUUAAAAAAACAAGUUAUGGAGAUAUAAUGGGGAAAAAAUUGGUGUGAAUAAAAACUGGUUGAAGUGCAGACUCCCUCCCAGAAGCUCCCAUUUCCUCGGGGGACGAUCUCAGGUGCUUCAUUAUCUGCCGGUUUGUGAAGAGUCCACCUACCCACACUCCUGUGGGUGCUGGGCGUGCAGCCGUGAACGACACACCCUGUCCCGUGUAGCACACGCGCGCGCACACACACGUCGGUACUGAGUGUUAGGCAGCUGAGCGCGCCCAGGAAGGAAAAGGACAGCGGAGCGUGGACUCGGGCGGACGACGGGGCUCAGGAAUGGAAGUGCGGCGAAGGGCUGACCAGGCGGAACGCGGCCGUCCGGCACUCACUUCCGGCCGGACCACAGCCGCGUCGCAACGGGGGCGGGACUUCCGGCGCGGCGCGGAAGCGGCGGCGAUAGUUGGAGAAGUUGACGGCGCGCAGAUGCUGGCGGCGCGGCACGUCGUGUGCGCCCUGUCCGGCGGCGUGGACAGCGCCGUGGCCGCGCUGCUGCUGAGGCGGAGAGGUUACCAAGUGACAGGGGUGUUUAUGAAGAACUGGGACUCACUGGACGAACAUGGAGUUUGCACAGCUGACAAGGACUGCGAAGAUGCUUACAGAGUUUGCCAAAUCUUGGACAUCCCUUUCCACCAGGUGUCCUAUGUGAAGGAGUAUUGGAACGAUGUGUUCAGCGAUUUUUUGAAUGAAUAUGAACAAGGAAGGACUCCCAACCCUGACAUCAUGUGCAACAAGUACAUCAAAUUCAAUUGUUUUUUUCGUUAUGCUUUGGAUAAUCUUGGGGCAGAUGCAGUUGCCACGGGUCACUAUGCGAGAACUUCGCGGGAAGAUGAAGAAGUCUUUCAACAGAAGCACAUUAAGAGGCCGGAAGGGCUUUUCAGAAAUCGAUUUGAAGUCAGGAAUGCAGCGACAAAGCUCCUCCAGGCAGCUGACAGCCUUAAAGACCAGACCUUCUUUCUCGGCCAGGUUUCCCAGGACGCCCUGCGGAGAGCCCUCUUCCCCCUGGGGGGGUUAACGAAAGACUUUGUAAAGAAAAUAGCUGCCGAGAAUAGACUCCAUCACGUGCUUCAGAGAAAGGAGAGCAUGGGCAUCUGUUUCGUUGGUAAAAGAAAUUUUGAAAACUUCAUUCUUCAGUACUUACAGCCCCGGCCCGGCAGAUUCAUUUCGAUAGAAGACAAUAGGGUCCUGGGAACGCAUAAAGGUUGGUUCCUCUACACUUUGGGCCAGAGAGCCAAGAUCGGCGGCCUGCGCGAGCCCUGGUACGUGGCAGAGAAGGACGGCGGCAGGGGCGACGUGUUCGUGGCCCCCGGCACAGACCACCCGGCCUUGUUCAGGGACCUGCUGCGGACCAGCCGCGUGCACUGGAUUGCUGAGGAGCCGCCGGCCGCCCUGGUGCGGGACAAGAUGAUGGAGUGCCACUUCCGGUUCCGCCACCAGAUGGCGCUAGUGCCCUGUGUGCUGACCCUCAAUCAAGAUGGCACCGUGUGGGUGACGGCUGUGAGGCCUGUGCGGGCCCUCACCCCAGGACAGUUCGCCGUGUUCUACAAGGGGGACGAGUGCCUGGGGAGCGGGAAAAUCCUGCGUCUAGGGCCUUCCGCCUACACACUCCAGAAGGGCAAGAGCAAAGCCAGAGUGGCCACUGAGGGCUCCGGUGAUGGCCCAGGCUCGGGUCCCACGUUCUAAGCACCUGGGAGCAGAUGUGGCAGAGCAGAGCCUGGGGCGGGCGGCCAGGGGUUCAGCUGCUGUCGAUGGACCAGGGGGCGCCUGGCUGGAUCUGCCACCCCUGUCUUGGCCAGGGAGAGCCCCAGCGAGACCUCCCGCAUUGGAGCUCCGGCCACAAGGACUUACUGGCGGAUUUAAAAAUGACAUCCGCCAGAGGAUUCUAACAAGACCAAGAAGUCGCACGACAUUCGAAAUGUCCAUCAAAGAUUCGCUUUGAAAUUAAUCAGCACAUGAAGAGGCAGGAAAAUGCCAAGCUAAAAGGAACCGACAGAAGUCGCCCCCAGAGUGGCCCAGACGUUCCUGUGAUCAGGCUUUAAAGCAGUGUCAUAACCACGCUCCACGAAGCAAACACUCGAGAAACGCACGGAGACCUAGACGUCCUCAGCAGAGAAGUAACGCUUGUAAGAGGGACCGAACGGAAAUUUUGUAACUUAAAAUGACAAUAUGUGAAAUAAAAUUCACUGGAUGGCAUCAACAGAAUGGAGGUGACAGAGGAAAGAGGCAGUGAACUUGUAGAUCGGUCACGAGAAAUGAUCAAAUCUAAAGAACAGAGAGGAAAAAAAAAAAGAAUGAAAACAGGUGAACAGAGCCUCAGAGACCUGGGGCAGAA